rnacentral:rRNA from 1 species
CCCCUAGAUGUUCUGGGCCGCACGCGCGCUACACUGAACAGUUCAACAAGUCUUAACCUUGGCCGAUAGGUCUGGGUAAUCUUUGAACGCUGUUCGUGAUUGGGAUAGACCUUUGCAAUUAUGGGUCUUCAACGAGGAAUUCCUAGUAAACGCAAGUCAUCAGCUUGCAUUGAUUACGUCCCUGCCCUUUGUACACACCGCCCGUCGCACCUACCGAUUGAAUGGUCCGGUGAAAUCUCGGGACGGCGGCUUGGUCGCUUGCGUCCGACUGCUGAAACUUGAUUAAACCAUAUCAUUUAGGGGAAGGUGAANUCGUAACA